UACGGAGGGUGCAAACGUUGCUCGGAAUCAUUGGGCGUAAAGCGCACGUAGGCGGCCUGUUAAGUCGGAUGUGAAAGCCCCGGGCUCAACCCGGGAAGUGCAUACGAAACUGGCGGGCUUGAAUAUGGAAGAGGGUCGCGGAAUUCCCGGUGUAGAGGUGAAAUUCGUAGAUAUCGGGAGGAACACCAGUGGCGAAGGCGGCGACCUGGGCCGAUACUGACGCUGAGGAGCGAAAGCGUGGGGAGCGAACAGG
rnacentral:rRNA from 1 species